rnacentral:rRNA from 1 species
GGGCAAAUAUCGCUAUUAGGUGAGCCUGCGUUAGAUUAGCUAGUUGGUAAGGUAAAGGCUUACCAAGGCGAUGAUCUAUAGCUGGUCUGAGAGGACGAUCAGCCACACUGGAACUGAGAUACGGUCCAGACUCCUACGGGAGGCAGCAGUGGGGAAUAUUGGACAAUGGGCGAAAGCCUGAUCCAGCUAUGCCGCGUGAGUGAAGAAGGCCUUAGGGUUGUAAAACUCUUUCAGCAGGGAAGAAAUGGACGGUACAAA